rnacentral:rRNA from 1 species
GAUGAACGCUAGCGAUAGGCUUAACACAUGCAAGUCGAGGGGCAGCACAAGGUAGCUUGCUAUCUGGGUGGCGACCGGCGCACGGGUGCGUAACGCGUAUGCAACUUGCCCUAUACAGGAGGAUAACCCGUCGAAAGACGGACUAAUACUGCGUAUGCUCACAACUUGGCAUCAAGUGGUGAGGAAAGAAAUUCGGUAUAGGAUAGGCAUGCGUCCCAUUAGCUUGUUGGUGAGGUAACGGCUCACCAAGGCAACGAUGGGUAGGGGAACUGAGAGGUUUAUCCCCCACACUGGUACUGAGACACGGACCAGACUCCUACGGGAGGCAGCAGUGAGGAAUAUUGGUCAAUGGGCGCGAGCCUGAACCAGCCAAGUCGCGUGAAGGAUGACUGUCUUAUGGAUUGUAAACUUCUUUUAUACGGGAAUAACAAGAGUCACGUGUGACUCCCUGCAUGUACCGUAUGAAUAAGCAUCGGCCAACUCCGUG